GACAGAGGAUGCAAGCGUAUCCGGAAUGAUUGGGCGUAAAGCGUCUGUAGGUGGCUUUUUAAGUCCGCCGUCAAAUCCCAGGGCUCAACCCUGACAGGCGGUGGAAACUACCAAGCUGGAGUACGGUAGGGGCAGAGGGAAUUUCCGGUGGAGCGGUGAAAUGCGUAGAGAUCGGAAAGAACACCAAAGGCGAAAGCGCUCUGCUGGGCCGAAACUGACACUGAGAGACGAAGCUAGGGGAGCGAAUGGG
rnacentral:rRNA from 1 species